UUUCGAUUUAGUUUAUCUAGUCUACAGUAGCUCCCGGCCCAGUCUGCCACGCGGUAUUUUUGGUCAAUAAUCAAAUAAUCAAAUACAAACACAAACAGAAUAAAACGAUAGUACAACAUUAGCACUUAAAGGCAUAUCUUUCAGCAUUCUUCAAAACAUCUUCUUUCGUUUUAACAGAAAAAAAGAAACUCACAACAAAAAGAAUGAUGGUUCCCAGUGCAAUGGUAAAAAUCAGAAGGUUAACCAAGAAAACAAGAUAUUUUACCCAUGGAACUGCAGGCUUCGGUUCUUCUUCUGAAAAGGAGCACAAAAUGAGAAUUCUGGGAAUACAGCUACUUAUCUUGCUAUGUCAAAGUACUCUCAUUUUGUGUGAUUCUACAACACUGGUCAUGAACUGCACUGCUCAAAGUAAUGCACUGGAAAAUUGUGGAACAGAUCCAUGUACAUGGAAUAUCAGCAAAAAAAGUUUCAACAUUUUAGAAUAUAAAUGUACAGACAAAGACAACAAAGAGGUGUGCAGCUCACUUGAAGAAUGUAAACUGAAAAAUGAUCAUUUUACCAAAUUUGUCAAAAACAUGCUUUCUAAAAUAGACUGUGAACACAUCCAAGACAAUAUAGAAUGUUCAUCUAAAUUGAUCAAAGAAAAAUAUGAUUGCAACAAUCAGUGUCUAAAGGGAAACUACGUCUGCAAAUUCACCAUUAGUCUUGCAGAAUCUGUUCCUGUAGAUGGGACAUUUCCAGUCAAUGGGGACUUCCACUGCACUGUGACAAAUGCAAGUAAAUGGAGCAAGAUAUCCAGAAUAAAAGGUUUUGAUGACACAAAAGAAGGCUUUUCAGACCCUAUUGAAAGGAACGUUAACUUUGAACACGCAACAAUUGGCUUAGGAAUAGUUGCCUCGAUAUUGCUCAUAGUCAAUAUAGUUAUGGUGAAAUUUUGGUAAGUACACAGUUUUUUUUUCUCCAGCUAUUAGGAGUGUUUUCACUUGCGUCAUAGUUUCAUCAGUCACCUGUAUGUGUGGCUAUGAUGGAGAUGCUAGCAUGUAAACACCAGCAUUGGAUUGCAUGGCAAGCCACUACUGAAUAUGCUGUUCUGCUUAUUUAUUCUUUCUAAACUAUGGCAAAUGUGUGGAAUCAUAUAGAGAAACAGCUAGUAAACAGGAAAUUUGACAAACUGACUGUAAUAGGCUUUAUUCUGCUUGAUUUGUUAUAACUUUUGGCAGAAUUUAGUAUUCAAAAUAUUUUUUUCCUGGUCUAACCGAUUAGAACAGUCCAAAAACAUGUCACUAAUUGAUCAUUUUUAGCAGCAAUAAUUAGCAAAAAAGUUUCAUUCACUUAAGUGCCGUUGUUUAUGUUCUGCUUUCCAACAAGGCCACUGAUGAUGUGUUGUGAAAACACCAUAUAAUGCACUAUUGUACUAUUGUUUCUCUGUAAUACAUGAUCAUUCCUUGUGGAUUUUUUAACCUUUACAGAUUUGCAGAAAACUAAAGAAGCAGACAAACCAAAAUAGAGGCAAUGGAGAUGACAGCCCAGAUGAAACCAUUGAACUGAAAAGGAAAAAAAAUCAAGGGGAAAAUGCUCCCAACAAUGAGGAAGAGGAUAACAAUUGACAGAGUUUAAAAUGAUGUCCAAUGCAGCAAGUGAAAACUUCAAUGUCCAGCAAAAACCUCAGAUGUCCAAGAGAAAACUUUACAACACCAUAACUGUCUACUAUGUCUAAAUGUGAAAUCUAAAAUGUGAAAAAAACUAUUUUAAAGCCUAAUAAUGUUUUUUUUUCUCAGCAGAGUUGAAUGAAAAUACAUUUGAUUCAGUGCAUCUCAGUUUAAUGCCCAGAAAGAAAAAAGUCAAAUAUUCAUGCAGAGAAAACUUCAAAUAUAGUUAUAUAGGUGCUUUUAAUAUACUGUAUUGUCUUUGUGUUUUUCAAAAUUGGCAUUUUAUUGUAUUAAGUUAAAUGUUUUUUUAUAAUUCAUCUAAAUAAUUCUGUUUCUAAUAUUUUACCGCUAGUGAUAUUUUAAGAAAUAUGAUAUGCGCAUAAACACUAAUGAAAGUGAAAUCUGAAUCAAAAAUGUGAAAAUUCAUAAUGCAGACUAAUUAUAUACUGUAGUCUUGUAUUGGAUCACCAGGGUCCAGUUUUUCAAAAAAAAAAAAAAAAGAAAAGAAUCAGGAUCAAAUUGGUCCAGAUUUGGAAAUCCCAUGUUUUGUUAUCCAGGAUUAACUGAUUAUCUUACUUUUAUGACAGUUUUUUAAAGGAACACUGGAUUGGAUCACUGUGGUCAAAAUACCAAAUUUCAGGAUUAACAAAUCCUGUUUACCAAAGCCAUAAAUAAAACCAACAGUGUAGCCUACUGGUUUAGCAAAGAACAAAUGGUAGGCAAAAUACAUGGCCACAAACAGCCAUUGUUUGUUUUAAUGGUAAGAAAUAGAAACACUGCAAUCAACAAACAUUUAACAUUUUUUUUUUAUUUGUUCUAAUACAAUACUGCUUUGAUAUUGUUUGUUGUUGUUUAUCAUAUUUCAUUAGAUGUGACAUGCUUUAUAUAGGAUUCAAACAUGAAGGAAUUUAUAUAUCAUUAAUAACCAUUAAGUUUGUGAUCAUUCAUUCAUUUCCUUUUUGGCUUAGUCCCUUUAUUAAUCCGGGGUUGCCACAGCGGAAUGAACCGCCAACUUAUCCAGCACGUUUUAUGCAGCGGAUGGCCUUCCGGCUGCAACCCAUCUCUGGGAAACAUCCAUACACACUCAUUCACACUCACACUACGGACAAUUUAGCCUACCCAAUUCACCUGUACCGCAUGUUUUUGGACUGUGGGGGAAACCGGAGCACCCGGAGGAAACCCACACGAAUGCAGGGAGAACAUGCCAACUCCACACAGAAACACCAACUUACCCAGCUUUGGCUUGAACCAGCAACCUUCUUGCUGUGAGGCGACAGCACUACCUACUGCGUUGCCGGUUUGUGAUCUUUCACUUAAAAAAUAUAACUUUUUUAAAUUUCAUUUGGCUUAUUUGGUAAAAAAAAUCACAACUGAAUCCACCCCUCUGAUGGGAUCAGGAUAAUCUUGUUUUUUUGGAUCAAAUAAAUCCCAAUCUGAGUUCAAAGUUUUGAAAAACCCAAAGGGCAGGUUUGAUCUAAAUCAAAUGUAAGAUUGGAUUACAUGGUCUGAUCUUAAUUCAAAAUCCCUCUGUCACUUUUGAAAAACCCAUUUCCAAUAUUUGAUCCAAUCCAUGAUCCUAAAUCCCACUGGAUUACUUUUGAGAAACUGGGCCCAGUGCAUUUUAGCUCUCACUGUUUAAGUUGUUGUUAUUAUUAUCAUUAUCAUGUAAACCUGCAUUUAUCUGAUUAUUGUCUUCAUUCUUUAUUGCUCAUGUUUUUGUGUUAUUUUGUACUUUAGGUUUAAGUAUGUCAUUGUGUUGUCUCAAAUGUUCUGUCCUAACCAGGACCAAGAGACACAUAACAAUGCUUUUGAUUCCAAGUCUUUAGAAAUUAUUCUGACAUUAUUCUGUACCUACGUGUUAGUCAAUUAAAUUAUUCUUUAUAUUCAACUGUAAA